GGGUCAAAAAUAUCUAGAACAUCAGAGUUCAUUUUCGGUACGAAUCUAAUUAGCAAGUUCCUCAACCAAUCCACAUAGUCUAGAUCGGUCAUCAUAUUUUCAUUUAUGGUUUCAUGUAGUGAAAAUAAAGAAGUCAUAAUACAGAUUCAAAUCUACAUAAAUAAAGAACAAUAGUAUAAGUAGACCACUCUUAUUUGAUAUGC
rnacentral:lncRNA from 1 species